GAGCUGCUGUGGGUUGGCAGGGUGGGCUGCCGUCCGUGUACACGAGCAGGAACCCAGGGUGCCAGACAGGUCCCUAUAUGGAUGUCACUGGCCCCCGGGCAGAGGGAAAGGAAGCUGGAGAGAGAGUCCCACUUUGAUUCUUAAAAGGUUCGGCUUGGAAGUGACCUGGCCACCAGCAAUUCCAGCCCACUACCUGACUUGAAGGGCUGUCACCUCACGGCGACCUGGAGGGACUCCAGGGGGACCAUGACCCCGCAUCACUGUGCUGUUAUCUGCUCCCUUUGGAAGGGCUCUCGUGAUGAGCUCCUUUCAGACAUUGAUCCUGAGGAACAGUGUGGCCAUCUAGAAAAACUGUACCAGGGAUGGAACUCAGGACCUUGCACUUGUACGGCAGGCGUUGGUGCCACUGAGCUUAAAUUCCCGGCCCUCAUUUCUUACUUCUUUAAUCACGUCCUGGUUGAGUGCAUGACUUUCAUUAUCCACUAACUCCUAUCUCUUUUGAAAAUUGCUGGUACUUACAUUAUACUUAAAUAAAAAUAAUG
rnacentral:lncRNA from 1 species